UUAGGAAUUUUGGGCAAUGGGCGAAAGCCUGACCCAGCAACGCCGCGUGGGUGAAGAAGGCCUUCGGGUUGUAAAGCCCUUUUCUGAGGGAAGAUGAUGACGGUACCUCAGGAAUAAGCACCGGCUAACUACGUGCCAGCAGCCGCGGUAAUACGUAGGGUGCAAGCGUUGCCCGGAUUUAUUGGGCGUAAAGGGCGCGUAGGCGGCCGAGCAAGUCAUGCGUGAAAUCUCCCGGCUCAACUGGGAGGGGUCGUGUGAUACUGCUUGGCUUGAGCAAGGUAGGGGGCAGUGGAAUUCCCGGUGUAGUGGUGGAAUGCGUAGAUAUCGGGAGGAACACCAGUGGCGAAGGCGGCUGCCUGGACCUUUGCUGACGCUAAUGCGCGAAAGCGUGGGGAGCGAUCCG
rnacentral:rRNA from 1 species